rnacentral:lncRNA from 1 species
CGAUUUUACAUCAAUAUUAAAAUUUAUAUUGAUUUUACAUCAGACCCUUGAUCAUCGCUUAAUCUGCUGCCUCAGUCAGAUGGAUCUUUAUCAGAUCAAUGUUGACAAGUUUUGUUCUAAUAGCAUCUACAGAUGUAAGUGUCACACAUAGUCGGACAGAAGGGUUUUUCUUUGCAUAUCCAACAAAAGAUUUUCACUUGCCGAUCAUUUGUGAUAAUAACUAGCAAAAACCCUGAUUUAUCAAUGAAAUCACUAGGUAGUAAUCUUCCUCCUUUCUCACCAUCGACAAUAAAAUUCUACUUUUUCUUCAUAU